CCUACGGGGGGCAGCAGUGGGGAAUAUUGGACAAUGGGGGGAACCCUGAUCCAGCCAUGCCGCGUGUGUGAAGAAGGCCCUCGGGUUGUAAAGCACUUUCAGUGAGGAAGAACGCCUGGUGGUUAAUACCCAUCAGGAAAGACAUCACUCACAGAAGAAGCACCGGCUAACUCCGUGCCAGCAGCCGCGGUAAUACGGAGGGUGCGAGCGUUAAUCGGAAUUACUGGGCGUAAAGCGCGCGUAGGUGGCUUGAUAAGCCGGUUGUGAAAGCCCCGGGCUCAACCUGGGAACGGCAUCCGGAACUGUCAAGCUAGAGUGCAGGAGAGGAAGGUAGAAUUCCCGGUGUAGCGGUGAAAUGCGUAGAGAUCGGGAGGAAUACCAGUGGCGAAGGCGGCCUUCUGGACUGACACUGACACUGAGGUGCGAACGCGUGGGUAGCAAACAGGAUUAGAUACCCUAGUAGUC
rnacentral:rRNA from 1 species